rnacentral:rRNA from 1 species
UAGCCGUAAACGAUACUCGCUAGGUGUCGGCCACGGUGCGACCGUUGUCGGUGCCGUAGGGAAGCCGUGAAGCGAGCCACCUGGGAAGUACGGCCGCAAGGCUGAAACUUAAAGGAAUUGGCGGGGGAGCACAACAACGGGUGGAGCUCGCGGUUUAAUUGGAUUCAACGCCGGAAAUCUUACCGGGACCGACAGCAACAUGAAGGCCAAGCUGAAGACUUUGCCGGAUUAGCUGAGAGGAGGUGCAUGGCGUAGUCGUGU